ensembl:lncRNA
AGGGAGCGAGAGUGAGCAGCUGCUGUUAAUUCGGAGCCCAGUAGGCCUCUCAAGGGCAUUGGAAAUCCAGAAGCAGCUCUGGGAGCUCCACCUAACUACUCCGUCCUGCUCUUCCUUAGCUUCUGCUUGCCUUGCCUUACAGACAAUCCCACAAUGGCUGCAUGAAGAAUCCCAGCCGGAAUACCCACCCCCACACUUCCUCGCCCUUUGAAGAAGCAAACCAAGAUGGAUAACAGGUCACACCUUUUUUCCCAGUCCAGGUACCGCGCAUGUGCAGUGCCCGCAGUUGCCAGAAGAGGGCAUCAGAUCCCCUGGAUCUGGAUUUCCGGAUGGCUGAGCUAUCCCGUGAGUGCUGAGAUUCUAACCUGGGUACUCCAAUUGCUGAACUCCGGGGCCGGUCAGUCACUUUACAGUGAGAACGUUGAUGACGUUUGUGAAAUGGCUAUCAUUAGGAGACGAGACUCCACAAAUCCUGGUUUUUGCAGGGAUGACAGGGCUCUGAGCUCAGGGGCUCAAGUCUGUCCAGCGAACAACGUUACCACUGAUCCGUCUUCCCCGUCACCAUCACAGCGUUUCUGGAGGAUCACUAUAGAUCACGUGUAAACCCUAUCUUCUUAUGGAUUUACCUAACAUCUGUACAUGUGUGUUCCUAACAGAGAAAGUGUUGACAUAAGUACAAUUUUAAUAUACAUCUAAGAUAACGAUAGACUUUUGCAGAUCACCUAUUUUUGGUGAAAGCUGCAGUAUUGUAUUUAGCCUCAGCGUGUCUAGCACACGGGCUGCAAUGAUGACCCAUGUUCAAACAUAUGAAGACAUUCAGGAGAGGAAAUUUGGUCUCAGGGCUUCACCAACUUGAUCUCAUUUUUAUUUUUAUGUUUUUAUUUUUUUGGUCUUUCAGCUUUUAUCUGUGAAGGGAAAAUGAAAUGAUAGUAAUGUUAAAAAAACUCCUCCUCCAAAAAUUUCUACCUCUGAAAACGUGACUGUAAGUCCGUUUGAGAAUACAGCUAAGAAGUGUUUUUUAGUGUUUUCUCUCCUCUUCCAAAGAUACACACAUAACAUCAGAUGACGGUUAAAUACGCACAUCCAGGUGAGAGAAAACAUAAGUCAAGACCAGGAAUAGACAAAGGGGAUCCUGUGGCGAGGACUAGGAAGUUAGUAGCUCAAAGGGAGAGACAGUAGGGACAAGAGCUUAAAGGAGGGAAAGAGAGCGGGGAGAAUCAGCCAAAUAGAACAAGAACAAAAGUUUCAUAAGGAAAUGCACAACCUGGCGAGCUAGUCUCAAAAAUUAAAAACCAAAACCCUACACAGACAUAGAUGUAAAUUUUUCAUUGUGUGGUCUUCCUAGCUAUUUUCAUCUUCACAAAAAGUGAUGAAGCGCCUUUCGCUGCUGCGUCCGCAGCCAUGAGUACACGCAGGCUACCAAAGGACACUUGCCUCUCGUGUCCUCCGCUGUGGUAAAAAGGAGGUCUGUUGGACCCCAAUGAGACCAACGAAAUUGCCAAUGCCAACUUCCAUCAGCAGAUCAGGAAGCUGAUCAAAAAUGGGCUGAUCAUCCGGAAGCCUGUGGCUGUCCAUUCCCAGGCGCACUGCUGGGAAAAACAUCUUGGCCGGACGGAAGGGCAGGCAUACGGGCCUAGGGAAGAGGAAGGAUACUGCUAACGCGCGGAUGCCCGAGAAGGUGCCCUGGAUGAGAAGGAUGAGGGUCCUGCACCAGCUUCUCAGGAGAUACCCGGAAUCUAAGAAGACUGACUGCCAUAUGUAUCAGCCUGUCCCUGAAGGUCAAAGGGAAUGUGUUCAAAAACAAGCGGAUUCUCAUGGAGCACAGCCACAAGCUGAAGCCAGACAAGGCCCGCGAGAAGCUACUGGCUGAGGAGGCUGAGGCUCGCAGAUCUAAGACCAAGGAAGCACGGAAGUGCCAGGAGGAGAGCCUCCAGGCCAAGAAGGAAGAGAUCAUCAAGACUGUCCCGGGAGGAAGAGACCAGAAAUAAAGCUUCUCUUGUCUCCAUACAGAGUGACCUGGCUGUGGCCUCACAUGGAUUAGUCAUUAAAAUAAAACAAGCCUUUAAGAAAAAGUGAUCAAGCCUGUCAUGUCCUCCGUACUUACGGUGAAGGAUUUUGUCGUUUCCUUCCUCUGCUACCCGAACAAUCUGGCAAGUGUACAGGCGACAACUUUGGUUACAUUCAGUAGAGAGCAAAAGUAACAGCAAGAUAAACCCUCGAAUCCUAGGCGUCAGAAAAUGAAGGUCACCUAGAAACGUGGCCAAAAGAAAAUGAUUGAUGGAUAGUGAAAGACAAAUUCCGUUUAAAUCCCUUCACACACGUGAGGUUGAAUCGAGUUGUAAAUUACUGAGGACUAGAGUUGUUCUCUAGAAAGAACUGAGGACUGGCCGGUGGGCGUGUGUGUCCCCAGGGUUUUGUUUUGUUUUUUGUUUUUUCUCUCUCUUUUGAUUAAUGGUUGAGGUAACAGAACCCACUCAGCUGUGGACUCUCCCAGCCCUGGAAACGUGAUCUUGUGCUGGGAAGAACGAAGACUGGGCAAGGCGGUCUCUACCAACUCUGCCUCAGUCCCCGCCUCCAGGCUGCUGCUUGAGGUCCUUGCCCAGACUGCGCUCAGAGAUGGACCGCGAUGUGGAUGUGUACGCCCAAUAAACCCUUCCUUCUCUAAGUUGCUUUUGGUUGUGGCAUUUAUCACAGCAGCAGAAAGCAAACCAGAAGGGAAUAGAUGGGGAGUGAACAAAGCAAACAGGAAGGGGUCACUUGAAAGAAGGCUGUUAGCAGGAGUGGGAAGGGGUGUUGGCGAAAUAGAGUGGCUAUCAGCACAAGUGUUUUUAUACAUAUAUGUGAAAUUGUCAAAAAUAAUUAAAAUAAUUUUCUAUUUAUACUAUUAAUAAUAAAGCAGCU